rnacentral:rRNA from 1 species
CAGCAGCCGCGGUAAUACGUAGGGUGCGAGCGUUAAUCGGAAUUACUGGGCGUAAAGCGUGCGCAGGCGGUUUUGUAAGACAGAGGUGAAAUCCCCGGGCUCAACCUGGGAACUGCCUUUGUGACUGCAAGGCUAGAGUACGGCAGAGGGGGAUGGAAUUCCGCGUGUAGCAGUGAAAUGCGUAGAUAUGCGGAGGAACACCGAUGGCGAAGGCAAUCCCCUGGGCCUGUACUGACGCUCAUGCACGAAAGCGUGGGGAGCAAACAGGAUUAGAUACCCCCGUAGUCCCUGUCUCUUAUAC